rnacentral:rRNA from 1 species
UACAGAGGGUGCAAGCGUUGUUCGGAUUUACUGGGCGUAAAGGGCGUGCAGGCGGUUUGUUAAGUUCAGGGUGAAAGCUCCCGGCUCAACUGGGAGAGGUCCUUGGAUACUGGCAGACUUGAGGAGGGUAGAGGAGAGUGGAAUUCCCGGUGUAGUGGUGAUAUGCGUAGAUAUCGGGAGGAACACCAGUGGCGAAGGCGGCUCUCUGGGGCCCUACCUGACGCUGAGACGCGAAAGCGUGGGGAGCGAACCGG